rnacentral:misc_RNA from 1 species
UCCGGUUUGACACCGGCAGUCUCGUUAGAGUCCCCGACAUUACUCGCUGGCAACUAACGAUAGGGGUUUCGCUCGUUAAGGGACUUAACCCGACACUUCACAGCACGAGCUGACGACAGCCAUGCAGCACCUGUGCACGUUCCACUCAGAGAGCGUUUAUCACCUUUCGGAUCAAUAAUCCGUGCAUGUCAAGUCUUGGAUAAGGUUCUUCGCGUUGCUUCGAAUUAAGCCACAUGCUCCACCGCUUGUGUGAGCCCCCGUCAAUUCCUUUGAGUUUUAGCCUUGCGACCGUACUCCCCAGGCGGUGCACUUAAUGCUUUCGCGGCGACCAUGAUGGCGUCAAAACCUCCACGAUCUAGUGCACAUCGUUUACGGCGUGGACUAC